ACUUGUGCUGUUUCUCACCCUUUGACACCCUCCCCAGUGCACUAUCUCAGCGGUUCAUAUAUAAGGGUAUCCUGAUCAUGGACAGAGGUUAAAAUUUCCUCAUCCACUCUUUUCCAUCUUUCCCAAAUCAAUCAUCUUUAUCUUGUGGAAAAUGCUACCCAAGUUUUGCUCUGCAUGAUCAAUUAACCCUAUUUAUAAAAUGCACCUUUUACUUUAGGUUUAACUUUGUGAAAUGAACCUUCAAACCUUUUUCUAUUUGAAACAAUAGAAAAGAAAAUAUAUCUCUCACUCACACAUACACACUUUCACACACGAGAUAAUUCUUAGAACAAACAAAAAUAAUCCUGAGGUAGAGAUAGUUUCUGAACGUACUAGAGUAAGAAGAUAAACAUCACAUUAGGAAUUUGGCCCCUACCUCACUGGCUAAAACUGAAAAGUGAAAGUAUUAGUUGUUCAGUCCUGUCCAACUCUUUGCAACCCCAUGGACGGUAGCCCACCAGGCUCCUUUGUCCAUGAGAUUCUCCAGGCAAGAACACUGGNNNNNNNNNNNNNNNNNNNNNNNNNNNNNNNNNNNNNACCCAGGGAUUGAACCCAGGUCUCCCACAUUACAGGCAAAUUCUUUACCAUCUGAGCCAGCAGGGAAUCCCCACCUCACUGGCUAUGUUUCAUUAUAAAAGAAUUAGGUUUCUAUAAAAAAAUGUUUUGAUCACAGAAUGCUGGAAAAGUUCUGGUUUCCUUUUCACUCAUCUGUCUUCCAUAUCAAUAAAGCAUGGGUCAUAGACUUUACACGGCCUGUUUUCUGGAAAACAACUCUGGCACACAAAGCUUGGAGGAGAAAAGAGGAGACCAGAGAGGAGAGCCAGCUUCACUGAGUCAGAGGCUGAGGAAGGGACUGUGGGAAAAAGAACUGGCCCCCAGGGCCUUCGAAUGCAGCCACUCUUCCAAGCCUCACAUUUAUCCUGCAGGAAGGAAGGGGCUGAGCCCUGCUGCCACCAGAGAAGAUGAAUCAGGAUCCCUUCGGGCAGGAACAGCCACAUCCACACCCGCCCCCCCCUCUGCUCCCACUUGCCAAAGCCAAAGGAUGGAUUUCAAAGGGUUAGAUAUGGCAAGUCACCAACCAAUCAAUCCACAUGUUGCUUUUUACAGGGAAAAUAAUUUAAUUUUUUAA
rnacentral:lncRNA from 1 species